rnacentral:rRNA from 1 species
AACGAACGCUGGCGGCAUGCCUAACACAUGCAAGUCGAACGAGACCUUCGGGUCUAGUGGCGCACGGGUGCGUAACGCGUGGGAACCUGCCCUUAGGUUCGGAAUAACUCCCCGAAAGGGGUGCUAAUACCGGAUAAUGUCUUCGGCCCAAAGAUUUAUCGCGUUUGGAUGGGCCCGCGUUGGAUUAGCUAGUUGGUAGGGUAAAAGCCUACCAAGGCGACGAUCCAUAGCUGGUCUGAGAGGAUGAUCAGCCACACUGGGACUGAGACACGGCCCAGACUCCUACGGGAGGCAGCAGUGGGGAAUAUUGGACAAUGGGCGAAAGCCUGAUCCAGCAAGGCCGCGUGAGUGAUGAAGGCCUUAGGGUUGUAAAGCUCUUUUACCCGGGAUGAUAAUGACAGUACCGGGAGAAUAAGCUCCGGCUAACUCCGUG